UUUAAUUCUCUCUUUCUUUUGUUUUUCUUGAACCCCAGAGCAUAUAUCUUCUUGCGCGCGGAUGAUCCCGGAUCACCGCAUUUGAACCCCGACAAUCCUUUGAUUGAUUCUCUUCUGUUUGCCAAAUCAUGAACCCCGUUCUCCAUUUUCCCAUGCUAAUUCCGUUGGCAAUGUCGGAAAUAACACCAACCACCACUCUGAUGGCGAUAUAUCAGAGGGUAUUCGAUCAGACAUUUACCAAUGACUGGGAAGGAACUCGACGUUUACUGACAUCGAAC
rnacentral:lncRNA from 1 species